GCCUUCGUAGUAUAAUGGUUAACACACUCGGCGUAUAUUCGAGAAAUCAAGGUUCGAGUCUCGGCGAAGGCA
rnacentral:tRNA from 1 species